GCUAUACACAAUUACCAAUAUAUAAAACAUACUUCUCUAAUGUAUAUAAUGACAUAUACUUUAGUCUAUUGUAGCCCAACAUUGUCAUUGUAAAAUUAAAUGCAUCUACAACAUUACUAUUAAUUUAUAUAAUACGAACAUUCCCACUUCUUUUUCUCUCUUGUAAAUAUAGUGUAUAUACUUCAAAACUUUCUGAUUUUAAAUAUUAUGUAUUGAUUGACUGUAAAUAAUCGAUUAUAUGAUAAAACGAACAGUAACUAGAGACCUAAAAUAAAAAGUCUAUGAAGAUUUCUAGUAGGUCUCUAGCCCAACAUCUUCAAAUUAUUGUAAUAUAUUUUAAGUAGAUUUUUAUACAUGGGAAAAUAAAUAAAAAAAAAAAAAAAAGAAAAAAAA